AAUUAAUUUUGAGUUUUAUUUAACUUUUUGCUUGUUACUAAACAUAUGCUUCUUCUUCUUGCUUGCAGUUUUGGCCCUCAAAAAUCGAACUUCGCUUGUUAUCGCGAAUUAUGUCUGUAUUACAGCAUUAUUUGUUAAUAAUUACAACAAUCAAUCGAAUUGAUGAAACUUAUGCUCAAUAAUGUUUCGGUUAUUGAAAGAGCGGUUAUGGAUCAAUAAUCUGGCGCUAACACCUACUUGAAGGCUUGCAUUAUUGCCAUUUACUGUACCGUGCUUUAUCCGCCGUGCGCCCUAACGGUGUAUAUGUACGUCAAUUGUCUGAGAUUUUUUAUACAAAAAAGACGAACGAAACAAGCAUUAUGAGUUUAAACCCUCAAAACCGCGACAUGACAUCAAAAACUUUUCAACACAACACCAUAUCAGCACGCCAACAACUCAGUCUAACAACGCCAGGGCAGUAGAGGAGACGGUGUGACAGAUGAUUAACGCAUAAAAUGCGAUCGUAUAACGGUGAAUGCCGACUCACGUAAUGCAAACGCAAUUUUUCAAAACAAUAACGACGAAGAAGGCGAGAAAAAAAUGUUACUGACAUAUAUUACUGCUGCCACAACGCCACAAUCAGCAACAGCGUCAGCUCGCACUUCCUUCGUGGAAAAACGCUCGCUACGCACACACUCGCAUGCAUGCAUGUGAAGAAAGCAGAGCAUUUGGCGUGCAAAACUUUUAAGGACAUUUCAGUAUGGUGCCAUGGCCACGGUGCCAGACAACCUAUGCGAGAUUUAUGCAAGACACACGAGCAGCAGCGUGCGGUGUAUAGGUGCUUGUGUGGGAGGAAAUACAUGCUGAUGCCAGCGGAAACACUUUGCUUAAUAAAGCGAUUAGCUUUCCCACGACACACCAUUCUUCAAAAUCGGUUCAUAAAUUGCGAAGUUAUUCGAGUUUAGCCGCUUGCAUGAUAUGAAACGAACACGUGUUAAUGAACUGUUUUCAACUUCCUGGAAAAAGAACUUCCCUAAAUACAUCUACUACAGCUUACUCCAAAGAAGUCGACUGAACCAAAAUUAGCUGCAAUGCAAAUACAUUGUAAUAAAGAAAGAGAAAAAUUCAUAUGGCAGUAAACAUUAUAAUUUCUUGAUAAUUUUUUAAUUUAC